UUGACCUCAAAUCAGGUAGGACUACCCGCUGAACUUAAGCAUAUCAAUAAGCGGAGGAAAAGAAACUAACAAGGAUUCCCCUAGUAACUGCGAGUGAACCGGGAAAAGCUCAAAUUUUGAAUCUGGCGGUCUUU
rnacentral:rRNA from 1 species